UAGGGAAUAUUAGAAAUGGACGAAAGUCUGAUCUAGCGACACCGCGUGUGCGAUGAAGGCCUUCGGGUUGUAAAGCACUUUUUGGAAGGAAUAGGAAGGAAGGUACUUCCAGAAUAAGUCUCGGCUAACUACGUG
rnacentral:rRNA from 1 species